UUAAAAAAGGUCCUGGCGCACAAUAGGCAUACACUAUGUAUUUGUUGAAUGAAUAACUCAUUUUGCAAGGAUCACUUAUGGUUGCCAUGAAAAUAAUAGAUUGGAAUUCAGUGAGACUAGAAGCAGAGAGUCCAGGUGGGGACCACUGAGUUCUUCAAAUGAGAGAUGAAGAUGAUGCAAACCUAUCACAGGGUGAUGGAGAGAAGUGAACAGAUUUUGAAAGGAUGAAAAUGCAACCUGACUCUCCCAGAACCCAGGAAGUUAAUAAGAAGCUCUAAAUGCCCUCGAAUUCCAGACCCUGUUCCCUAUAGGUAAAAGAUCAUACUUUUUGCUGUUUUAGGGCUUGCUUUCUGCUCUGUACAAAACUUUGUGGAAGGGGAAAAACAGGCCCCUGAGUAUGUGCCUCUAUGCUUGAAACUUCUUGAAACUGCUCCUAACUGCUUGUUUGGCUUCUGUAAACCUGCUUGCAUAAGAUAAAAAGAGGAGAAGUCAAUUGCCUAACGGACCCCAGUAAGAUCGGGCGUGCCACAAAAUGUUGAAAAUCCUGAUAAAUAUAUCUUGGUGACAAUAUGUCUCCCCCACCCAGAGACAGGCACAAACAUGUAACUCCAGAACAACUUAAAAUUAAUUGGUCCACAAAGCGCGGGCUCUCGAAGUUUUGAAUUGACUGGUUUGCGAUAUUUUAAAAAUGAUUAGUUUGUAAAAGCGCGGGCUUUGUUGUGAACCCCAUAAAAGCUGUCCCGACUCCACACUCGGGCCGCAGUCCUCUACCCCUGCGUGGCGUACGACUGUGGGCCCCAGCGCGCUCGGAAUAAAAAUCCUCUUGCUGUUUGCAUCAAGACCGCUUCUCGUGAGUGAUUUGGGGUGUCGCCUCUUCCGAGUCAGGACGAGAGGGAUUUUAACUCGACUGGCCUUUCAGUUUGGUGCGUUGGCCGGGAAACCCGCGACUACCCCUCACACCCGAGAACCGACUUGGAGCCUUUGUUCUCUAGGCUCAAGGCGCUCGAGUGGGUGAGGCAGCGAGCGUGGAAGCAGCUCCGGGAGGCCUACUCAGGAGGAGACUUGCAAGUUCCACAUCGCUUCCAAGUUGAGAUUCAGUCUAUGUUAGACGCCACCGUGCAGGAAACCUCGAGACUCGGUGGAAGGACCUUAUCUCGUACUUUUGACCACACCAACGGCUGUGAAAGUCGAAGGAAUCCCCACCUGGAUCCAUGCAUCCCACGUUAAGCCGGCGCCACCUCCCGAUUCGGGUGGAAAGCCGAAAAGACUGAAAAUCCCCUUAAGCUUCGCCUCCAUCGCGUGGUUCCUUACUCUGUCAAUAACUCCUCAAGUUAAUGGUAAACGCCUUGUGGACAGCCCAACUCCCAUAAACCCUUAUCUCUCACCUGGUUACUUACUGACUCCGGUACAGGUAUUAAUAUUAACAGCACUCAAGGGGAGGCUCCCUUGGGGACCUGGUGCCUGAAUUAUAUGUCUGCCUUCG
rnacentral:lncRNA from 1 species